rnacentral:tRNA from 1 species
AAGUUUAGGUUAACUCAAACCAAGAGCCUUCAAAGCCCUAAAUAGGGUCUCAAACCCUAACUCCUG